UACAGAGGUCUCAAGCGUUGUUCGGAUUCAUUGGGCGUAAAGGGUGCGUAGGUGGCGGGGUAAGUCAGGUGUGAAAUUUCGGAGCUCAACUCCGAAACUGCAUUUGAUACUGCCUUGCUUGAGGACUGGAGAGGAGACUGGAAUUCACGGUGUAGCAGUGAAAUGCGUAGAUAUCGUGAGGAAGAUCAGUGGCGAAGGCGGGUCUCUGGACAGUUCCUGACACUGAGGCACGAAGGCCAGGGGAGCAAACGGG
rnacentral:rRNA from 1 species